AAAUGAAGUUGUUUGACGAGAGUAAUUGAUCUAUAGGGGGUGAAUGGAUCCCCAUUAAAAAAACAGAAUUUAAAAUUCAGUUUAGAAAAUAUUUUAUAUGGUUUUUCGAAAGUGAUUCCGGAUAGAAAACUCGUCUAUUCAAACUUGUUACCGAAAGGACCGAAUAUGCGUCUAAACUGUAAUGUGUUAAGUUUAACACAACGCCAAGAUGAGAAUUAGAAUUGAUGUGAUUUUCUAAAACGCAUUAAACUUUAUAACACUUUG
rnacentral:lncRNA from 1 species